rnacentral:tmRNA from 1 species
GGGGCCGUUUUUGGUUUUGACAGCAUGUGCAAUAGGGAAGUAAGCAUGCCGGGUGUUGUGAGGUUAACCCGAUAAAACAAUCCACGAGCCAAUAACUGGCGAAAACAACUACGCACUGGCUGCCUAAUCCGAUAGGAUUACGCCCGUUUACUAAAUAGUAAACCCCAGUUGUCUCCGGGGAGAGUUUUCUCAAGUCGCUCCCCAUGAGGCAUCGUAAAGUUUGAGAUAGGAAUUGCAGGUUCCUGAUGCAAUUCCGAAACUAAUCGGGAAUAAGAAAAUAACAGGUACGUCCGGUUCCGGUUAUUUUCCGACAAUUAAUGCCGGAAUAAGCAUGUAGAAAGCUUGUCAAUUCCAUGUUUGGACGCGGGUUCGAUCCCCGCCGGCUCCACAA